AGGGUUUCAGUCACCCAGGCUGGAGUGCAGUGGUGCGUUCGCGGCUCCUUGCAGCCCCGCCCUCUCGGGCUCAGGUGCAAGAAGAAAAGAGGUACAGAACACCCAGAGGUGCCCUCGAUUCCGUCUUGCACUUGCCCUUCUCCCACCGUCCAGCAAUAAAGCGAGAGAAACAAGUGCAGGAAACUGGCCGGCAGUCAUGGGAGAAGCCAAAAAGACAGGAGUUCAGUGGCAUGACCAGGGCUCACUGCAACCUUGAUCUGGGCUCAAGUGAUCCUCCUACCUCAGCUUCCUGAGUAGCUAGGACCACAGGUGUGCACCAACCACACCCGACUAAUUUUUGUAGAGAUGAGAUCCCACUAUGUUACCCAGGCUGGUCUUGAACUCCUGGGCUCAGGUGAUCAUCCUGCCUUGGCUUCCCAAAGUACUGGGAUUAUAGGCUUGAGCCACCGUGCCUGGCCUGUGAUCAGAAUUCUCAUUUUUUUAGUCACUAAAAAUGCUGGGGGGCACUCCAUUCUCCAUUAUGUGAUUAGUUCACAUUGCAUGCUUGUAUCAAAA
rnacentral:lncRNA from 10 species